UGAAGCUGGAUUCGCUAGUAAUCGCGCACCAGCCAUGGCGCGGUGAAUACGUUCCCGGGCCUUGUACACACCGCCCGUCAAGCCAUGAAAGCCGGGGGUACCUGAAGUACGUAACCGCAAGGAUCGUCCUAGGGUAAAACUGGUAAUUGGGGCUAAGUCGUAACAAGGUAUC
rnacentral:rRNA from 1 species